GAUGAACGCUGACAGAAUGCUUAGCACAUGCAAGUCAACUUGAACUUCGGUUUGGGUGGCGGACGGGUGAGUAACGCGUAAAGAACUUGCCUCACAGAUAGGGACAACAUUUGGAAACGAAUGCUAAUACCUGAUAUUAUGAUUUUAGGGCAUCCUAGGAUUAUGAAAGCUAUAUGCGCUGUGAGAGAGCUUUGCGUCCCAUUAGCUAGUUGGAGAGGUAACGGCUCACCAAGGCGAUGAUGGGUAGCCGGCCUGAGAGGGUGAUCGGCCACAAGGGGACUGAGACACGGCCCUUACUCCUACGGGAGGCAGCAGUGGGGAAUAUUGGACAAUGGACCAAGAGUCUGAUCCAGCAAUUCUGUGUGCACGAUGAAGUUUUUCGGAAUGUAAAGUGCCUUCAGUUGGGAAGAAAAAAAUGACGGUACCAACAGAAGAAGUGACGGCUAAAUACGUG
rnacentral:rRNA from 1 species